AACGAACGCUGGCGGCAGGCCUAACACAUGCAAGUCGAGCGCGCCCUUCGGGGUGAGCGGCGGACGGGUGAGUAACGCGUGGGAACGUGCCCUUUUCUACGGAAUAGCCUCGGGAAACUGAGAGUAAUACCGUAUACGCCCUUUGGGGGAAAGAUUUAUCGGAAAAGGAUCGGCCCGCGUUGGAUUAGGUAGUUGGUGGGGUAAUGGCCUACCAAGCCGACGAUCCAUAGCUGGUUUGAGAGGAUGAUCAGCCACACUGGGACUGAGACACGGCCCAGAAUCCUACGGGAGGCAGCAGUGGGGAAUCUUAGACAAUGGGGGCAACCCUGAACUAGCCAUGCCGCGUGAGUGAUGAAGGCCUUAGGGUUGUAAAGCUCUUUCAGCUGGGAAGAUAAUGACGGUACCAGCAGAAGAAGCCCCGGCUAACUCCGUG
rnacentral:rRNA from 1 species